GAUGAACGCUGGCGGCGUGCUUAACACAUGCAAGUCGAACGAAGCACUUUAUUUGAUUUCCUUCGGGACUGAUUAUUUUGUGACUGAGUGGAGGACGGGUGAGUAACGCGUGGGUAACCUGCCUUGUACAGGGGGAUAACAGUUGGAAACGGCUGCUAAUACCGCAUAAGCGCACAGCAUCGCAUGAUGCAGUGUGAAAACCUCCGGUGGUAUAAGAUGGACCCGCGUUGGAUUAGCUAGUUGGUGAGGUAACGGCCCACCAAGGCGACGAUCCAUAGCCGACCUGAGAGGGUGACCGGCCACAUUGGGACUGAGACACGGCCCAAACUCCUACGGGAGGCAGCAGUGGGGAAUAUUGCACAAUGGGCGAAAGCCUGAUGCAGCGACGCCGCGUGAGCGAAGAAGUAUUUCGGUAUGUAAAGCUCUAUCAGCAGGGAAGAUAAUGACGGUACCUGACUAAGAAGCACCGGCUAAAUACGUG
rnacentral:rRNA from 1 species